rnacentral:lncRNA from 1 species
GGAUCAGAUCUGAGCCACAGUUGCAACCUAUGCCAGAGCUGUGGCAACACCAGAUCCUUAACCCACUGUGCAGGGUUGGGGAUCAAACCUGCAUCCCAGCACUGCAGAUACACCACUGAUUUCAUUGCACCUCAGUGGGAACUCCAGCAAUUAAUUUUUAAUUAAGACAUACUUUUUUUCAGACAUAUUGCUGCAUGCUUGGAGUAUAAUGUAAACAUAACUAUUAUAUGCACUGAAAAACAAAUAGUGCGACUCACUUUAUGGUGACAUUCACUUUAUCGCAAUGGUCUAGAACUAAACCCGCAAUAUCUGAGUUAUGCUUGUGCACACAAUUCUUGACAAACUAAUUUGCACCCAAAUACAAAUACAUAAUAGUAUACUAUGUCUACCUUGGGGAAUCAGGGAUUUGCAAAGUUUUAAGGCAGCUACCACUUCUCCAGUAGUCCUGAGAGUGGAGAGCUUGGAGAAGCCCAGGCUAUCUAAAAGAUGUUUGUUAAAGACCCAACAAAUGUUUCCAGCCUCUGGUAUUCCACGGCCUUUGUUAGGAUUUAUACUAAUCGACUUGCAUUGUCUCCAUUUCAAAAUUAGCACUAAUUGUUUCUUAAAGGUCAAAUGUUAAAACUUGGCUCAGUAAUGUGUUUGUUUAGGUGUUUUUCUUUUCUUUUGAUGGAGUAGAAACGUGCCUCAAUUUACAAAAACCUGCGAUAUAAAAAUCCGAACACAUGGAGCAUGCAAAUAAGCAAGUGAUUACAGCCAUUAUAGUAGAAAGUUUUUUUUUUCAAUUCCUGUAAAAAUAUAAUUGAACGGCUUGAUCACAUCAAGACUGUAUCUUCAUAGCACUUCAGACACUCAGAGAUGAGGUCUUGCUCUCACAUAUGAUAUAUGACUUCCUUCCUCUCCACAUAUUUACAGAAGCUUGCAUGUGUCUGCAUGUGUGUACAGGGGAUGAUUUUGUUAUUUUUGGUUUGUUUUCUGGGGUGAUUUUGCCUGCCCAGAAACCAAAAGAAGAAAUUUUAAAACACUAUCACCUAGAAAUUAGUUACAACUGAUGUCCCAAAAAGAAAUCUAGCACCCUCUUAGAAGGACAAAGCUGACCUUCCACUUCUGAUUCACCGAUAGUGACUUGUGACUGUCACUCCUUACAGCGUUCCCCUGAAACAGAAGUAACAUGACUAAUAUGACUGAACUGGGCAGCUCCUAAUUUCUUGUCCUCGCUCAGGGAACAGACUUUUCACCAGUACAAAUCACUGAGCCUGAAGGAAGGUUCUUCAUUCAAGUCAUUUGUGAAGAGAACUGGGGUCAGUAGAGGAAAACCCCUGUUUCUCUAUCUCAAAUUCAGAGAGAUAAAUAUGUUAGUUUUGUCCUUCAGCUGGGGCUAAAAUUCACCUGAUGCCCAUAGAUAUGGAGAGAGAGUAAUCAAUUAGCUAUUACCCUAUCAAAAAAUCUGAAAGAAUCACCAGAUAUCCUUUCUGACUAAACAGGCGCAAUAACUGCCUCAAGCUCAACUGCUAUUUUUCAGAAAGUGUCAGUUGAAACAUUGUAAUUACUCAACAGAUAAAUCUCAUUCCAAUCUAAUUAAUUCAAAUAUGAAAAAGCCAUAUAUGAAUGAUUAUACUACAUUGAUUCAUCAUCAUUUUAAGAAAUGGUUAAUUAUUUCAUUGGUAUUCUCAAGACAUUAAGUUGAAUUUCAAUUUAAAAACUAAAAAAUCAUUCGGUAAGCAAUUAAGACAUAUUUGAUUAACCUAGCAAAAAUAUUUUAUGUAAUAUUAAAAAUCCAAAUAGCUUUCAGAAGUUUAUAUAGUAAAAAAAAAUAGUUUCUGAAAUACUUAGUUACAAGGGAAAGAAACAAUAGACUAGAUAUAUACACCGGAACAUGGAUAGGCCUUAAAAAUAGUGCUGAGUGACAUAGUAAGAAACAAUGAUAUAUAACAGGUACAUAAAUUUAAAAUGCAUGCCCAUAAACCACAAUGUGCAUUUUAUUAACACUUAAGCAAAAGAAAGCAUGUGCAGCAAAUUCAUUAGA